rnacentral:lncRNA from 1 species
AUUCUAUUCCCUAUUUUAAAUUUUGUUUUGUUUUUAUUUUUUUUAAUUUUUUAAUUUUCUUAUUUUAUUUUAUUUAGUGUGUUUAGUUUUUUUCCCAAAGUAGGUGUAGAUACCAUAAAGGGACAAAAUUGAAAAAAAGAAGAAGAAAUGAAGUAGCUAGAAACUGCGCUUGAUGUCUCAACCUCGUACCCUAAUGCCGCGACAUCCUAAACAGAACAUAACCUCAAAAAUUUAAAGGGCCAAGUUCAUCUGAGACUAUUUUUUUUUGGUGCUCUUUUGUCCACUUGAAGCGCACAUAACCCGAGAUGGUCAUAACAACAAUGAUUCAACCGAUUCAAGGAAGUUUUCUUGUUUUUGCAGUUUAAUUAUUUUUAUACUACAGGCAAGGUAUGUUCUAAAGUGUGGGGAAAAGUACAUAGGAUUAGUUUGUGUAUGAUUUCAUUUGUGUGUUUGCUUUGAUUAUUUAUUAAAUAAAUUAUUAUUGUUGUAUGGUGCUUGGAUUAUAUUAACAAUGUGAAUAGUGGUUGAAAAUAAUGAAGCAUGUAAUGAUUUUUGUCAAGCAUGAACUUUUUUAUUGGUAUGAGAUAAUUUGAUUAUUUUUAAGGAGAACUGAUUAAGUUAUUUAGUUAAAUUGCAUAAUAUAUUAGAAGUACCUAAGUAAGAAUGUUUGAUGAUGCCAUAUGAGAUAUAAGUCUUUUAGAUAGUCUUAGAGACAUUAUUGCCAUAUGUGUGUCUAGACUUGGUUUGCUUGAGGACAAGCAAAAGGUUAAGUGUAGGGGAGUUUAGGUGUGAGGUCCAUUUUUACAUCCAUGUUCACGAACUCUAGCUUGUUUAAAGAAAGAAUCCAAGUCAAACAAAAAAAAAUUAUGAUUUUGCCUUUUUCCUUAUUUAUUUUAUGUUUUUUGAUUUGGUUUACUUUUAUUUAGAACAAAAUCUAUUCUUUUUGUUUUCAUACCUUCUUUAUCGUUUAUUUUAAUUCUAUGUUUAUUAUUUUAAUUCUAUGUUUACGUUGCUUGAGGACAAACAAUGAGUUAAAUGUGGGGGAGUUUGAUCUACCAUAAUUCGGUGUAGUAGAUUAAACUAGUUUUCAAACUUAAGAAGCCUGAAUACAAGUAUUUUCAUUACAUUUUAGUUAAGUUUCUUUAGUUUUAUUUACAUUCAAUAAAAUGUGCAAAUUGAGUCUUUUAUUAACUUUAAAGGCCAAAUGAAGCCUAAGGGAGAGCUAACGUACUUUGUAAGUGUGCAGGAGAAGAUUAGAAGGCAUUUUAGGUUGAAAUGGGAUGCUAUGUUCUCCUGCACACUUACAAAGCAUAGGGAACAUAAUGAAGAAAACUCAAGUCUACCUUUGAUGUCACAGCAUAGACUGAGGAUGUCACAACAUACCCUUGCAAAUGGCUAAAGAAGAGCAUACUAGUUACUGUGUUGCGACACAGGUCCUAGUGUAUCAUGACAUCGACUCUGGGACAGAAAUUAAAC